UCUUAUCAAGAGAGGUGGAGGGAACUGGCCCAAUGAAGCUUCAGCAACCAUAGGCGUACCUGUACGGUGCUACUUCCAGCAGACGUAUCUGAGAGAUAAGA
rnacentral:ncRNA from 1 species